rnacentral:rRNA from 1 species
AUACGGAGGGGGCUAGCGUUGUUCGGAAUUACUGGGCGUAAAGGGCGCGUAGGCGGACAAUUAAGUCAGAGGUGAAAGGCCUGGGCUCAACCCGGGAACUGCCUUUGAAACUGAAGGUCUCGAGACCGAGAGAGGAUAGCGGAAUUCCCAGUGUAGAGGUGAAAUUCGUAGAUAUUGGGAAGAACACCAGUGGCGAAGGCGGCUAUCUGGCUCGGUACUGACGCUGAGGCGCGAAAGCGUGGGGAGCAAACAGGAUUAGAAACCCCAGUAGUCC